UACGUAGGCAGCAAGCGUUGUUCGGAGUUACUGGGCGUAAAGGGUGUGUAGGCGGUUCUUUUAGUUUGGUGUGAAAUCUCCCGGCUUAACCGGGAGGGUGCGCCGAAUACUGAGGGACUAGAGUACGGGAGAGGAAAGUGGAAUUCCUGGUGUAGCGGUGAAAUGCGUAGAUAUCAGGAGGAACACCGGUGGUGUAGACGGCUUUCUGGACCGUAACUGACGCUGAGACACGAAAGCGUGGGUAGCAAACAGG
rnacentral:rRNA from 1 species